CAUGUACUCCCUCCGUUCCAAAAUUCUUGUCUUAGAUUUGUCUUUAUAUGAAUGUAUCUAAUCAUGUUUUGGUAUUUAGAUACAUUCAUUUCUAGACAAACAUAAGACAAGAAUUUUGAGAGGGAGAGAGUAUUAU
rnacentral:pre_miRNA from 1 species